UUGCUUACUUUAGCAGCACAUAUACUAGAUCUGGAAUGAAACAGAGAAGAUUAGCAUGGCCCUUGUGCAAGGAUGACAUGCAAAUCUGUGAAGCAUUCCAUAUUUAA